rnacentral:rRNA from 1 species
UACGAAGGGGGCUAGCGUUGUUCGGAAUUACUGGGCGUAAAGGGCGCGCAGGCGGUCGCUCAAGUCAGGCGUGAAAGCCCCGGGCUCAACCUGGGAAUAGCGCUUGAGACUGAGCGACUUGAGUUCGGGAGAGGAGAGCGGAAUUCCCAGUGUAGAGGUGAAAUUCGUAGAUAUUGGGAAGAACACCGGUGGCGAAGGCGGCGACCUGGGCCUUUUACUGACGCUGAGGCGCGAAAGCGUGGGGAGCAAACAGG